GAUGAACGCUGGCGGCGUGCCUAAUACAUGCAAGUCGAGCGAACAGACGAGGAGCUUGCUCCUCUGACGUUAGCGGCGGACGGGUGAGUAACACGUGGAUAACCUACCUAUAAGACUGGGAUAACUUCGGGAAACCGGAGCUAAUACCGGAUAAUAUAUUGAACCGCAUGGUUCAAUAGUGAAAGACGGUUUUGCUGUCACUUAUAGAUGGAUCCGCGCCGCAUUAGCUAGUUGGUAAGGUAACGGCUUACCAAGGCAACGAUGCGUAGCCGACCUGAGAGGGUGAUCGGCCACACUGGAACUGGGACACGGUCCAGACUCCUACGGGAGGCAGCAGUAGGGAAUGGUCGGCAAUGGGCGAAAGCCUGACGGAGCAACGGCGCGUGAGUGAUGAAGGUCUUCGGAUCGUAAAACUCUGUUAUUAGGGAAGAACAAAUGUGUAAGUAAAUAUGCACGUCUUGACGGUACCUAAUCAGAAAGCUACGGCUAACUACGUG
rnacentral:rRNA from 1 species